rnacentral:rRNA from 1 species
UUUGACCCGGGACGUUUUCAUUGAUCAAGGUCUAAAGUUAAGGGAUCGAAGACGAUUAGAUACCGUCGUAGUCUUAACCACAAACUAUGCCGACUAGAGAUUGGGCGUGUUUAUUAUGACUCGCUCAGCAUCUUAGCGAAAGUAAAGUUUUUGGGUUCUGGGGGGAGUAUGGGACGCAAGGCUGAAACUUAAAGGAAUUGACGGAAGGGCACCACCAGGAGUGGAGCCUGCGGCUUAA